CAUCUGAUCAGCGACCCGGUGACAUGUGGAACAUCGUCAGUUACGAACGACGAGCGUAGCUCCUUCCCUACAACGAGUGGUGACGCGAAACCUAAGGACAAUGAAACCCCAGAAUCCAGAAUCAAUAUAAAUCAAAAGUAGACGAAUUGGGAUGAUGCAUAGUGCAAAAGUGAUUACCUUUAAAAGGAUCACCAUCGAUACAAUCCAACCCGCUUUCACUACCGAAAGCUCUCUCCUCCGCAGCUUCAUCUCAUCUCUCCUUCGAAGCUUCUCGUCUCCUCCGCAGCUUCAUCUCGUCUCUUCGUGCCGUCUUCAGAUUGGAGGUUCCAACCGGGAGAGAACUUUCGCGAGAGAGAGAGAGAGACACUCUGACCUCUCAAACGCUUACGCGUAUCAACAAGAAACGCCUCUUCCUUCCUGACCCGAAUUAAGACACAUUCUUCUAUAAUUAUGUAUUUUUUUUAUUUAUUUUUUAAUCCAAAAUACUUCAAGAGACGUCCAGGAUUAUCCGGAGGGGAAAUGAGUUUUUAGCGG
rnacentral:lncRNA from 1 species